rnacentral:rRNA from 1 species
AUUGAACGCUGGCGGCGUGCUUUACACAUGCAAGUCGGACGGCAGCAUUGCUUUCGGGCAGAUGGCGAGUGGCGAACGGGUGAGUAAUACAUCGGAACAUACCAUAUAGAAUGGGAUAACUCAUCGAAAGAUGAGCUAAUACCGUAUAAUCUCUGAGGAGGAAAGCUGGGGACUAGCAAUGGCCUGGCGCUAGAUGAAUGGCCGANGGUCGAUUAGCUAGUUGGUGGGUAAAGGCUUACCAAGGCGAUGAUCGAUAGCUGUUCUGAGAGGAAGAUCAGCCACACUGGGACUGAGACACGGCCCAGACUCCUACGGGAGGCAGCAGUGGGAAUUUUGGACAAUGGGGCAACCUGAUCCAGCAACGCCGCGUGAAUGAAGAAGGCCUUAGGGUUGUAAAGUUCUUUUAUUUGGGAG